rnacentral:rRNA from 1 species
CGCACGGGUGCGUAACGCGUAUGCAAUCUACCUUUUACAGGGGGAUAGCCCAGAGAAAUUUGGAUUAAUACCCCAUAGUAUUAUUGAAUGGCAUCAUUUAAUAAUUAAAGUCACAACGGUAAAAGAUGAGCAUGCGUCCCAUUAGCUAGUUGGUAUGGUAACGGCAUACCAAGGCAAUGAUGGGUAGGGGUCCUGAGAGGGAGAUCCCCCACACUGGUACUGAGACACGGACCAGACUCCUACGGGAGGCAGCAGUGAGGAAUAUUGGACAAUGGGCGCAAGCCUGAUCCAGCCAUGCCGCGUGCAGGAUGACGGUCCUAUGGAUUGUAAACUGCUUUUAUACAGGAAGAAACCCCUUUACGUGUAGAGGAUUGACGGUACUGUAGGAAUAAGGAUCGGCUAACUCCGUGCCAGCAGCCGCGGUAAUACGGAGGAUCCAAGCGUUAUCCGGAAUCAUUGGGUUUAAAGGGUCCGUAGGCGGCCUUAUAAGUCAGUGGUGAAAUCUCACGGCUCAACCGUGAAAUGGCCAUUGAUACUGUAGGGCUUGAAUUACUGUGAAGUAACUAGAAUAUGUAGUGUA